CCCACUAAAUGUGAAGACCCGGGUUGUGACAACCCGGUCACAAUAUUGGGAAGCUGCUGUCAAACAUGUAGCGACAAAUGUGUUUACAAUGGUAGAAUUUAUGAAGAUGGUCAGACAUGGGUGUCCUCUAAUCAGUGUCAGGAUUGUACAUGUCAAGGGUCAGAGGUUGUCUGUGUAGAAGCACAGUCCUGUCAACAAACUUGCGAGAAUGGAUACAUUAGACCAGGCCAAUGUUGUUCUGAUUGUUUUGAUUGUUUGUACGAAGACCAACACAUAACGAAUAGUAAUUAUUUUACUCCUCAAUCUGACCCCUGCCAACAGUGUCUUUGUAGUUAUGGUGUGGUUAGGUGUCAGAGAAAGAUAUGUCCAGAACUCACAUGUCGUUUCCCAGAAUUUUCU